rnacentral:rRNA from 1 species
UACGGAGGGUGCGAGCGUUAAUCGGAAUUACUGGGCGUAAAGCGUGCGCAGGCGGUGAUGUAAGACCGAUGUGAAAUCCCCGGGCUUAACCUGGGAACUGCAUUGGUGACUGCAUCGCUCGAGUAUGGCAGAGGGGGGUAGAAUUCCACGUGUAGCAGUGAAAUGCGUAGAGAUGUGGAGGAAUACCGAUGGCGAAGGCAGCCCCCUGGGUCAAUACUGACGCUCAUGCACGAAAGCGUGGGGAGCAAACAGG